AUUGAACGCUGGCGGCAGGCCUAACACAUGCAAGUCGAACGAGUGGCGGACGGGUGAGUAAUGUUUGGGAAUCUGACUGAUGGAGGGGGAUAACUACUGGAAACUGUCGCUAAUACCGCAUACCCUCAGAUGUGCCCAGAUGGGAGUGGCUUGUUGGUGGGGUAACGGCCCACCAAGCCGACGAUCCCUAGCUGGUCUGAGAGGAUGACCAGCCACACUGGAACUGAGACACGGUCCAGACUCGUACGGGAGGAAGCAGUGGGGAAUAUUGCACAAUGGGCGCAAGCCUGAUGCAGCCAUGCAGCGUGUAUGAAGAAGGCCUUCGGGUGGUAAAGUACUUUCAGCGGGGAGGCGUUACCCGCAGAAGAAGCACCGGCUAACUCCGUGCCAGCAGCCGCGGUAAUUC
rnacentral:rRNA from 1 species